UACGGAGGAUCCAAGCGUUAUCCGGAUUUAUUGGGUUUAAAGGGUGCGUAGGCGGCUUAUUAAGUCAGGGGUGAAAGACGGUGGCUCAACCAUCGCAGUGCCUUUGAUACUGAUGCUUGAAUGAACUAGAGGUAGGCGGAAUGUGACAAGUAGCGGUGAAAUGCAUAGAUAUGUCACAGAACACCGAUUGCGAAGGCAGCUUACUAUGGUUUUUAUUGACGCUGAGGCACGAAAGCGUGGGGAUCAAACAGG
rnacentral:rRNA from 1 species